UGGAAAUUCAACAACUACAAACACUUCCUAUAACAUCACUGGUCCUACUGCUGGAGUCAGUUACACAUUAAACAUCACAGCUGUUGCAGCAGAUAACUCAACAGAUGGAGAAUCAGUGGUUACCUCAAAAUACACUAAGCCUGACGUCAUAAUGAACCUCACAGCUGUUGAUAUUACAACAUCCUCUGUCUUUCUAAACUGGAUUAAACCGAAUGGUCAAAGCUCCCAUUAUCGUGUAGAAUAUGAAGAUAAGAAUGUGUCUGCUGAAAACACCUCCAUCAAUAUAAAUGAUCUGAUUCCUGGAGCACAGUACACAUUCAAAGUGUUUGCAGUUGCAGCUGAUAAUGUGACCGAGGGAAGAGCCAAUCAGAUUUCACUGUAUACCAAGCCAGGUGUGAUCAGCAAUCUCAAAAUUACUGAAAUCACAACAUCAUCUGUGUUUCUGACAUGGGAUGAACCAG